UACGGGGGGGGCAAGCGUUGUUCGGAAUUACUGGGCGUAAAGGGCUCGUAGGUGGCCAACUAAGUCAGACGUGAAAUCCCUCGGCUUAACCGGGGGACUGCGUCUGAUACUGGAUGGCUUGAGUUUGGGAGAGGGACGCGGAAUUCCAGGUGUAGCGGUGAAAUGCGUAGAUAUCCGGAGGAACACCAGUGGCGAAAGCGGCCACCUGGACUGCACCUGACGCUGACGCGCGAAAGCUAGGGGAGCGAACGGG
rnacentral:rRNA from 1 species